GCCUACGGGACGCAGCAGUGGGGAAUAUUGGGCAAUGGGCGCAAGCCUGACCCAGCGACGCCGCGUGAGGGAAGACGGUCUUCGGAUUGUAAACCUCUUUCAGCAGGGAAGACAAAAGGACGGUACCUGCAGAAGAAGCCACGGCUAACUACGUGCCAGCAGCCGCGGUAAUACGUAGGUGGCAAGCGUUAUCCGGAAUUACUGGGUGUAAAGGGCGUGUAGGCGGGAAUGCAAGUCAGAUGUGAAAACUAUGGGCUCAACCCAUAGCCUGCAUUUGAAACUGUAUUUCUUGAGUGCUGGAGAGG
rnacentral:rRNA from 1 species